AGAAGAUUCAAGGAACCUGCAUAAAAGGAAGAAACUACGACCACCAGGUCCUUACGGCUAUUGACGUGAUUAAGAACUGUUAUUCAUAAAUCACAACGGCCAAGCAUACAAUAUCUGCAAUAUCAAUGACAUGCAACCAAAUCACAUUUUAAAGGUUUUAUUAGACUGGAACCGGGAACACCGUUCUUUGAUCACGUCGAUCCACUUCCACUACCUAGAUAAUGGUAAUAACCCCAGCCAGACGGGCUCACAAUUACAUAUUAAAAACAUUUCAGAGAGAAUUUAGCCUGCAGGCUCUCAGUGAAAUCUCAGUGAACAGUACAAGACCUGCUUUCCUGAAAGGUACAGUCAUUCUGCAAACAAGUCGCACCUGAGCGCUGAUUACAUAGGAACGGACCGUUGCAUACCUGAUGCGUUUCUUUCAAAACAUAGAUAUCUAUCUCUGUGUAAACUAUGUAAUAAUUUAAGUAAUAUCACUGUCAUGUAAAUGUAUUACUGCAUCGUAGAUCAGUAUUU